rfam:Agrilus planipennis Contig56384, whole genome shotgun sequence.
AUUUUCCCUUUUUGUUUUGUAAAAAGUGAUAUAGGUACAAUACCAAUCUAUAGUUGUGGCUGAAGAGAACUUUAAUUGAUCCUAUAACGGCCUGAGGUAGAGGGGUUUUAGUCGGUAGGUCCGAGGACACCUUCCUCGGGAAUCCGACACUACCUAGUCGUGCGGACGGCUGGGUGUCUUUUGAAGAUUUCCCCUCUUCCACGAAA